UACGUAGGGUGCAAGCGUUGUCCGGAAUUAUUGGGCGUAAAGAGCUCGUAGGCGGUCAGUCGCGUCUGCUGUGAAAACUCGGGGCUUAACUCCGGGCCUGCAGUGGGUACGGGCUGACUAGAGUGCGGUAGGGGGAGACUGGAAUUCCUGGUGUAGCGGUGAAAAUGCGCAGAUAUCAGGAGGAACACCGGUGGCGAAGGCGGGUCUCUGGGCCGUAACUGACGCUGAGGAGCGAAAGCGUGGGGAGCGAACAGG
rnacentral:rRNA from 1 species